rnacentral:rRNA from 14 species
CCAAAACAACCAGGAUGUUGGCUUAGAAGCAGCCAUCAUUUAAAGAAAGCGUAACAGCUCACUGGUCAAGCGCUCCUGCGCGGAAAAUGUAACGGGGCUUAAGUGAUACACCGAAGCUGCGGGCCCGGAUUUAAUCCGGGCGGUAGCGGAGCGUUCCGUAGGCCGAUGAAGGCAGACCCGCGAGGGCUGCUGGAGGUAUCGGAAGUGAGAAUGCUGACAUGAGUAGCGACAAAGAGGGUGAGAGACCCUCUCGCCGAAAGUCCAAGGGUUCCUGCGCAAUGCUAAUCAGCGCAGGGUUAGUCGGCCCCUAACGCGAGGCAGAAAUGCGUAGUGGAUGGGAAGCAGGUUAAUAUUCCUGCACCGGCGGGUAGUGACGGAUUCUGGAAGUUGUCAGUCCUUAUCGGAUUGGAUUGGCAGCCAAGGCGUCCCAGGAAAUAGCUCCCGCAUUAGACCGUACCCCAAACCGACACAGGUGGACUGGUAGAGUAUACCAAGGCGCUUGAGAGAACUAUGCUGAAGGAACUCGGCAAAUUGCUCCCGUAAGUUCGCGAGAAGGGAGCCUGGCUCUGCGCAAGCAGUGUCCAGGGGCACAGACCAGGGGGUGGCGACUGUUUAUUAAAAACACAGGGCUCUGCGAAGUUGCAAAACGACGUAUAGGGUC